UAAGAGUUUGAUCCUUGCUCAGAAUUGAACGCUGCGCAGCCUUACCACAUGCCAGUCGACGGUAACAGGAAGAAGCUUGCUUCUUUGCUGACGAAGUGGGCGACGGGUUGAGUAAUGUCUGGGAAACUGCCUGAUGGAGGGGGAUAACUACUGGAACCGGUAGCUUAAUACCGCAUAACGUCGCAAGACCAAAAAGGGGAACCUUCGGGUCUCUUGCCAUCGGAUGUGCCCAGAUGGGAUUAGCUAGUAGGUGGGGUAACGGCUCACCUAGGCGACGAUCCCUAGCUGGUCUGAGAGGAUGACCAGCCACACUGGAACUGAGACACGGUCCAGACUCCUACGGGAGGCAGCAGUGGGGAAUAUUGCACAAUGGGCGCAAGCCUGAUGCAGCCAUGCCGCGUGUAUGAAGAAGGCCUUCGGGUUGUAAAGUACUUUCAGCGGGGAGGAGGGGAGUAAAGUUAAUACCUUUGCUCAUUGACGUUACCCGCAGAAGAAGCACCGGCUAUCUCCGUGCCAGCAGCCGCGGUAAUACGGAGGGUGCAAGCGUUAAUCGGAAUUACUGGGCGUAAAGCGCACGCAGGCGGUUUGUUAAGUCAGAUGUGAAAUCCCCGGGCUCAACCUGGGAACUGCAUCUGAUACUGGCAAGCUUGAGUCUCGUAGAGGGGGGUAGAAUUCCAGGUGUAGCGGUGAAAUGCGUAGAGAUCUGGAGGAAUACCGGUGGCGAAGGCGGCCCCCUGGACGAAGACUGACGCUCAGGUGCGAAAGCGUGGGGGGCAAACAGGAUUAGAUACCCUGGUAGUCCACGCCGUAAACGAUGUCGACUUGGAGGUUGUGCCCUUGAGGCGUGGCUUCCGGAGCUAACGCGUUAAGUCGACCGCCUGGGGAGUACGGCCGCAAGGUUAAAACUCAAAUGAAUUGACGGGG
rnacentral:rRNA from 1 species